ensembl:rRNA 5S_rRNA 5S ribosomal RNA
AUAUAUGGCCAUACCACCCUGAUCUCCAAAGCUGUGGAGGGUCAGGUCUGACCAGUACUUGAAUGGGAGAUGGCCUGGGAAUUCUGGUUUCCUCUUUU